rnacentral:lncRNA from 1 species
GACUGUUGUCUUGUUCUUCUUGUCCAGAUGUCGUCAUACUUUCGGCAUAGUUGUUUUUAAUUUCUCACCUUGGUAUCUUCUUAGAAAACAUUUUGAAACCAUUUCAAAAGUUAAAUAAUAAAAUGAAUGAAUAUUAUAUGCAAAAUUUUACCGAGGCAAGCAUUGAAAGGUUGUCAGAAAUCGUAAAAAUACAGGGAGGCGGGGUAAACAAAGGUAAGAACAGCUGAAAAUAAGUCCAAAACAGGCUCUCAACUCAGUUAGUACGCGUACAUAAACAAAUCAGCAAAUAUAGCUUUGAAAAUACCGGCAUGCAUUCUUCAUCUCAAAGCCGUGAUAUUCUUUGGGAAAACCAGGUGUAAUCCACCAUUGUCUUCAUAGGAAAACACCUGUACAACGUCAGGAAUGUGACAGUUGUUAUCCAUUCGUUUGAUGUGUUUGAGCUUUGUUAUGCCAUUUGAUUACGGACUAUUCAUUUUGAAUUUCCUCAGAGUUCGGUAUUUUUUCUACGUUUUAUGAUAUCAUUCUCCCUAUGUUGUAUUGGUAAAAAAGCACAUGGCAUAACUCCAUUGAGGAGUGAAAUUCUAACAGAUACUGAUUAGCAACUUGAGAAAUUCGUAUUCUUGAUUAGGUCAAUUGGCAACAAUUUUGUGAAACUUGCAUCAUAGUGGUCUAAUACAUUUAUAACUUGCGAUAAUUGUCAUAUUGUGUUCUAAUGUAUUCAUUAUGCUUGUCGCCUAUUUAACUAUGCAUAUUGGAUGUGUGUUUGAUUUUUGAAUUGCUAAAUUUAUUCCUGGUUGAUAAUCAUAAUGUAGUACUCAAUUACAAAAAAACAUAGUGUUUGGGAUUUUAAGUUAGUUUUUCCGUUGAACAAUUUUUGUAAAGAACCGUCUUCAGAUUCAAGUUGAUAAUGCUAAUGAUGUUUCUCGACCUAAAUUCAAAAAUACGAAACACCGGAGGUAAAUUUUAACAUCAAUUAUUAUUUCUAAAUAUUAAAGAAUGAAUUUUAUUUUCAGUUGAUAUAUAAAAGAUGCAAAUUCAACAAAUUCAAGAUAUCCAGCUGCAGCCUGGUAAAGCAAAUUUUGAUAUCAAGGGUUGCACCAUUAAUGGCGAUAAGGUUCUAUUUACCGACAAAGGUAAUUGUCGGAUAAUAGUACACGAUGUAACAGGCCGUCAUGUUGAAGACAUUCCUCUAUCAGCAGAACCGUUUGAUAUUACAGCUAUAGAUAAUAACAUGGUAGCCGUCACAUUUGGCAGGAAGCAGUACUUUGAAAUUAUAAAUAUCAAUACCAAAGAAGUUACUAAAAAAACAACUGACGGAAACAGCUGGGGAAUGACGUAUGAGAAUGGAAAUUUAUAUAUGAUCGUCGAUGGUACUAUGCAUGGUAUCAAUGUGGCUGUUAUGACGUCAUCGGGAGAACUUUUUAAAAUGAUACCGGUCAGUACAGACUUUGACCAAACGGAAUAUGUGGCAGUAAAUGGAGACAGUUUAUUUUUUACAGUAUUCAUCCCUAAAGAUCUUGUAUGCAUGGAUGUGAAUGGUGCUGUUCAAUGGCAGUUCCAAAAGAACAUUUUUAACCAGCCAAGGGGAGUAACUACUGACACUCUCGGAAAUAUUUUUGUAGCUGGAUUUUCUUCACAUAAUGUGAUUGCUGUAAAGAAAAGUGGGAGCGAGGGUAGUGAAAUACUAAAUAAGAAUGAAGGCUUAAAUUAUCCCACAUCAAUUUAUUGCGACAAGACGAAUAACAGGUUGCUAGUUAGUAAUUUGAACAACGGACAUGCAUACCUGUUCAACAUAGUUUAUGACUAAAACAUGUGCUAUACAUCCUGAACAUAAUUUCCUGUAUAGUUGACUGGAUGUCUGUUUAAUUGUUUUCAUUUUUAUUAUAUGUAUUUUAAAGGACAA